GCACAGAGCCGGACACAGGGCUUGAACCCACAAACCAGGCCUUCCCUGCGCCAAGCUCGGGGGCUCAUCGCUACCCGCCUGUUGCCUGCGGGAUAAAAAUCCAAGCUUCUUGGCCUUCGACGCUCUUUCCACUUGGCCCGCCCCUCUCCCACCUUAUUCCACGACAGCCCAUCCUCACCUCCCGUCUCCCCACGUGGGCCGGACCCCUGUGUUUCCCAGAACCCACUCUGCAGUUUGCUUGUAGUCCCUGUUUCUGGGACGUUCUGUUCAGCCUUCUAAUCCCUGGUCGGAUUCCGGUUUUUCGGGGUCCUCCCCGGUGAUCCCGCCGCCCCCCGCCAGACCUCAUCGGCUUUGCUCUCUACUGCUUUUGCCCUGUGCAUGCUUCAUUCCCGCACACUUAAUGCCACAGUAAUUGGUGCGGACGGCCGGAUCCCCAGCCGCGGUGAGCCAGCUUCCCUCGGCAGGGACCACAUUCCCAGCAGGACGUCCUCAUUUUGGUUUCUUCUGGAUACAGCACGGUAUCAGGCUUGCGGGUGCUGAGAGGUGUUUGCUAAAACACACUGGGCACGAAGGCCCGUUAAAAA